rnacentral:rRNA from 1 species
ACGGGUGAGUAACACGUGGAUAACCUACCUAUAAGACUGGGAUAACUUCGGGAAACCGGAGCUAAUACCGGAUAACAUAUUGAACCGCAUGGUUCGAUAGUGAAAGGCGGCUUUACUGUCACUUAUAGAUGGAUCCGCGCCGUAUUAGCUAGUUGGUAAGGUAACGGCUUACCAAGGCAACGAUACGUAGCCGACCUGAGAGGGUGAUCGGCCACACUGGAACUGAGACACGGUCCAGACUCCUACGGGAGGCAGCAGUAGGGAAUCUUCCGCAAUGGGCGAAAGCCUGACGGAGCAACGCCGCGUGAGUGAUGAAGGUCUUCGGAUCGUAAAACUCUGUUAUCAGGGAAGAACAAAUGUGUAAGUAACUGUGCACAUCUUGACGGUACCUGAUCAGAAAGCCACGGCUAACUACGUGCCAGCAGCCGCGGUAAUACGUAGGUGGCAAGCGUUAUCCGGAAUUAUUGGGCGUAAAGCGCGCGUAGGCGGUUUUUUAAGUCUGAUGUGAAAGCCCACGGCUCAACCGUGGAGGGUCAUUGGAUACUGGAAAACUUGAGUGCAGAAGAGGAAAGUGGAAUU